rnacentral:rRNA from 1 species
AGUGAACGCUGGCGGUAGGCCUAACACAUGCAAGUCGAACGGCAGCACAGGAGAGCUUGCUCUCUGGGUGGCGAGUGGCGGACGGGUGAGGAAUACAUCGGAAUCUACCUUUUCGUGGGGGAUAACGUAGGGAAACUUACGCUAAUACCGCAUACGACCUACGGGUGAAAGUGGGGGACCGCAAGGCCUCACGCGAGUAGAUGAGCCGAUGUCCGAUUAGCUAGUUGGGGGGGUAAUGGACCACCAAGGCGACGAUCGGUAGCUGGUCUGAGAGGAUGAUCAGCCACACUGGAACUGAGACCAGGUCCGAACGCCUACGGGAGGCAGCAGUGGGGAAUAUUGGACAAUGGGCGCAAGCCUUAUCCAGCCAUACCGCGUGGGUGAAGAAGGCCUUCGGGUUGUAAAGCCCUUUUGUUGGGAAAGAAAUCCUGUCGAUUAAUACUCGGUGGGGACGACGGUACCCAAAGAAUAAGCACCGGCUAACUUCGUGCCAGCCGCCGCGGUAAGAC